UGAUGAUGGUCAGUGUAAUUUCUGAGCAUACCCUUAAACCUUUCCCAUGCUUGGUAAAGAUUUUUUCUUUUCUUAUGACUGAAACUCAGAAUCUGGCUUCUCAAACA